CGAAGCACACGUGCCGAUGCCGAGAGCGUUCGGCACGUGGAGCCCUUGUCGCUGAGCGAGGGGCGUAGAGGACGAGUGCGGCACGUGCCAAGGCAACCCGGAGGAGACAGAGCUGCGAUCGCGCUGAGCGCUGUGCUUGGCCUAUCGUCCCCCGCAGUCGUCGUCUGGGGGUUUACUCACGAAAAAGGUUUGCCGUUUCAGCUCGGCGCCUCUCCGCCAUUUUCUGUUCGUGACGAACGUGUUUUGGAGUCGCUGCUGCGCACGACGAGGUGACGGUCCCGUUGUGGUGGCAGGAGCCGCGUCCACGCGGCGCCCCGCUCAGCAUUCCCUGUGGAUUACACCAAGACGGAAGAGGACAACGUUGCUUCACAGCGGAUAGUGUGCGCGGAUGCAAGUGUGCGUGUGUUUUGUGCCAUGGUGUGUGAAGCGCGGCCAUGUGAUUGAGCGUGACCUGCGUGACGCGGAGGCGGCUGCUGCCUGUGACCGCCCCGUCGUGUUUGUGCUUCCCUGCAGUACCCUAUUCCAAGAGGAUAGUGAAGUACCCUGUUCCAAGAGGAUCAUGAAGUGUGAUGUGUGAUCAGUGGUGCACCUUUGCAAUCUUCACACCUUUCGGAUACAUAAAUAAGCUGGCGUCGCACCUUCUGGCGCGAGGUCAGCUGUAAAUAGGUGCUCUGGUAAGUUCAGGAGGCAUAAUGUACGGGAAAACUAAAUGUGGGUGCGCGCGGACGUAACCGGAAGAGCACGAGCCUGUGCUGCGGAGAGCAGUGCUUUCGGUGGCCGUCGUUCUUCAACGGUCGCUGUUGCGGUCGCCGCACCUUCACACUUGGCCCACACUUAUACCCAUGCCAACAAAUACAUUUGGCGGUGUAGUAAGAAAAAGGUAAGAUAGCCGUCGAAAGGCGUAAUGGCAGUGCAAUAACCCUUAUAUUUGACACGUAGCGACAUCUCGUCGCGCGUUCAGCAACGUAUAUUCCGGAUCUUGUUUGUUGCUCAGCGUCCAGUUCCAUGCUCUUGGAGGCAAUCCGCUGUCUGUUCGUUUCUGGCUUUGACCACGGCUCGUCACAGCUGUCGUAUUCGUCCGACCUUUGGUUACUUCAUUCGAACCGCGGCUGCGCGCGGUAAGGCGAAGCGAUCGCACGGCGACCGUUUGGCUUUGCCGUUCGCUCAUCUGCAGCUUCUCUGCUUCUGUAAUACUCGGCACUUAUUCAUGUGUAUGCAUUUUUUUUUUAACCGUUGUUGAACGAAAUGUUUGGCGUGCGCUCUCAGUAUACAGAUCAUGCGGUGUGCUAUUCUUGGCGGAGUGUGCUCCUAGCGUUAAUUUCAUUU
rnacentral:lncRNA from 1 species